UGGGAGAAUCUGUAAAGCUCAGGAGGGAUAGCACCGUGAUACUGAUGAUUAUAUGUUCAUAGUUGUAUACGUACUUGGCGCUAUCUAUCUUGAGCUUCAUGGCUUCUUCAU
rfam:Glycine max cultivar Williams 82 chromosome 14, whole genome shotgun sequence.